rnacentral:rRNA from 1 species
AUGUUCCCGCUCGCCGCCGCAAGGGCCUGCCUUUCCUCCCCGGCGCCGCCGCCGAGACCCCAAACCCGAGCGGCGCCUCUCUUCCCCCUUCACCGUCGCCGCUCCACCACCACGCAGCCCAGACCCGCCAGGAUCCCCCUCCUCCGCCCGCUCGGGGCCGCAGCGGGCGCCGGCGCGCCGGGAGCGUCCUCACGGCCCGUGAGGGACCGCGUGAUCAACUUCGGCAGGCACAAGGGCUAGAUGAUGGGCACGCUGCCGCCGUCCUACCUGCGCUGGGUGGUCGCGGAGCUCGAGUGCGGGGACACACUAGUCUGGGCGCGCCUGGCACACGAGGUGCUCGACGACCCCAUCUACGUCGACCGUGUCGAGUGGGAGCACGCGCACCGCUUUCUCCGCGGCGACUCCAACUACGAUGACGACGACGGCGACGAGCCCCUCCAGGAGAUGACCGAGCGCUUCGGCUGGGAUCUCUCCAACGAGGACGGCUGGGGCCGCCUCGACUUCCGCCUCCUCGGCACCUCCUAUGGCGGACGCAUCCCGAGGAAGGCCGACCAGCGUCAGAGCACCGGCAGCGCCCUGUUCGAUACCGGGGCGGCUGACCCGGACGGGCCGAGGAGGAAGAGGGACGAGAGGAGGGAGCGGAUGCGGACGAGGAGGGAAGAGCAGGUGAGGACGACGAAACUGGAUGUGCUCGGCGUGAACUCCGGCGCGAAGGAUGGCAACGGUGGCACCUGGUUCGUGGGCCUAACCAGUCAGAUUUGUGCUUAG